AUCGAUGAAGAACGCAGCGAAAUGCGAUAAGUAAUGUGAAUUGCAGAAUUCAGUGAAUCAUCGAAUCUUUGAACGCACCUUGCGCUCCUUGGUAUUCCGAGGAGCAUGCCUGUUUGAGUGUCAUUAAAUUCUCAACCCCUCCAGCUUUUGCGAGUUGUGAUGGGGCUUGGAUCUGGGAGUUUGCGGGUCUUUAUCAAUAAAGGUCAGCUCUCCUGAAAUACAUUAGCGGAACCGUUUGCAGUCCCGUCACUAGUGUGAUAAUUAUCUACGCUGUGAUGAUUGCUCUCUGACUAGUUCAGCUGCUAAUCGUCCACUAUGGACAACACUUAAUGAACUUCUUGACCUCAAAUCAGGUAGGACUACCCGCUGAACUUAAGCAUAUCAAUAAGCGGAGGAAAAGAAACUAACAAGGAUUCCCCUAGUAACUGCGAGUGAAGCGGGAAAAGCUCAAAUUUAAAAUCUGGCAGUCUCUGGCUGUCCGAGUUGUAAUCUAGAGAAGUGAUGCCCGCGCUGGACCGUGUACAAGUCUCCUGGAAUGGAGCGUCAUAGAGGGUGAGAAUCCCGUCUCUGACACGGACUACCAGGGCUUUGUGGUAUCCUCUCAAAGAGUCGAGUUGUUUGGGAAUGCAGCUCUAAAUGGGUGGUAAAUUCCAUCUAAAGCUAAAUAUUGGCGAGAGACCGAUAGCGAACAAGUACCGUGAGGGAAAGAUGAAAAGAACUUUGGAAAGAGAGUUAAACAGUACGUGAAAUUGCUGAAAGGGAAACGCUUGAAGUCAGUCGCGUUAGCUGGGAAUCAGCCUCGCUCUUGCGUGGUGUACUUUCUGGUUGACGGGUCAGCAUCAAUUUUGACUGCUGGAAAAAGGCUUAGGGAAUGUGGCAGCUUCGGCUGUGUUAUAGCCCUUGGUCACAUACAGCGGUUGGGAUUGAGGAACUCAGCACGCCGCAAGGCCGGGUUUCGACCACGUUCGUGCUUAGGAUGCUGGCAUAAUGGCUUUAAGCGACCCGUCUUGAAACACGG
rnacentral:rRNA from 1 species